rnacentral:rRNA from 1 species
UACGGAGGGUGCAAGCGUUGUUCGGAAUCACUGGGCUAAAGGGCGUGUAGGCGGUCCGCUAAGUCUGAUGUGAAAGCCCGGGGCUCACCCCCGGAAGGGCAUUGGAAACUGGCGAACUCGAGUCCCGGAGAGGAGGGUGGAAUUCCCGGUGUAGCGGUGAAAUGCGCAGAUAUCAGGAGGAACACCGGUGGCGAAGGCGGGUCUCUGGGCCGAUACUGACGCUGAGGAGCGAAAGCGUGGGGAGCGAACAGG